GCACCCUUAGCUUAAUGGAUAGAGCAUUCGACUCCGGAUCGGAAGGUGAGGGUUCGAUUCCCUUAGGGUGCA
rnacentral:tRNA from 1 species